rnacentral:rRNA from 1 species
AUCAUCGAAUCUUUGAACGCACCUUGCGCUCCAUGGUAUUCCGUGGAGCAUGCCUGUUUGAGUGUCAUGA